rnacentral:rRNA from 1 species
CCGCCGGCGACCGGCGCACGGGUGAGUAACACGUAUGCAACCUGGCCGUGACAGAUGGAUAACCGGGAGAAAUCCCGCCUAAUACAACAUAAUGCCGGGAGGGGACAUCCCCUGCCGGUCAAAGGGGGCGAACCCCCGGUCACGGAUGGGCAUGCGGCGCAUUAGGUAGUUGGUGGGGCAACGGCCCACCAAGCCGACGAUGCGUAGGGGUUCUGAGAGGAAGGUCCCCCACAUUGGAACUGAGACACGGUCCAAACUCCUACGGAAGGCAGCAG